CCUACGGGUGGCAGCAGUGAGGAAUAUUGGUCAAUGGGCGGGAGCCUGAACCAGCCAAGCCGCGUGAGGGAAGAAGGUACAGCGUAUCGUAAACCUCUUUUGUCAGGGAACAAAGGCGGGGACUAGUCCCCGGAUGAGGGUACCUGAAGAAAAAGCAUCGGCUAACUCCGUGCCAGCAGCCGCGGUAAUAGGGGGGAUGCGAGCGUUAUCCGGAUUUAUGGGGUUUAAAGGGUGCGGGGGGGGCCUGUAAAGUCAGCGGGAAAAGCCCGGGGCUCAACCCCGGCGAGCCGUUGAAACUGGCGGGCUGGAGUUGGAGAGAGGUAGGCGGAAUGCGCGGGGUAGCGGUGAAAUGCGUAGAUAUCGCGCAGAACCCCGAUUGCGAAGGCAGCGUACCGGCUCCACACUGACGCUGAGGCACGAAAGCGUGGGUAUCGAACAGGAUUAGAUACCCUGGUAGUC
rnacentral:rRNA from 1 species